rnacentral:antisense_RNA from 1 species
CCUCCCGGGCGCACCUCGGGGCCCGCGGGCCGAGUGUCGCUAGGACGUUUUCCGCAGGCCUAGCAGGCGGACCCCGCGGCUCGGAGCAAGCGGUGCAGGGGCAGGAGCGAUUCCCAUUCGAGAAGUUUGACCUCUCAUUUUAAUACAACACCCGCCUCUUACAGGCAUCAGACCAGUCCAGCCAGGUCAAGGUGUGGACCUCACAACGGGGUGCACAGAAUUAGUUAAGCAAAGCAGGAACCCAGCUGGAAAAUUAAACGAGCCCUGGAUCUGCAAAGCAGGUCCCUUCGAGAGACCAAAGCCGUGAUCCCAACCUUAGCAACAUAAUUCUACUGGAGAUGUUGAUAUAUAUACUAAUCCAGAACAACCAUGUAGCAAGAGGAAUAAAAUGAAGUUCAGAAGUCUGUUUCGGGAAAUUUUGAAGCCCUUUGGAAAGAAAGAUUUCUACAUUUUGUUACAUGAAAUUCAUGCAAAUAUAUGUCAGGUGCCAGUGCUAUGGAUUUGUUGAAGAAUAAGCACAAUACCAUUUAUUACCACUUCUCAGUUGUAAAGAGGCUGUAACUCUGGUUGUCGAAGUAAAAUAAAAUGAAAUCUCCUAGAUGUGACACUGUGACCCCUGCCAGUUAUUUACAAACAAGUUAUCUGCACAUUUUGGGCUGUAAACAU